UGACCCAUGUUGUAAAGGCAGCAGGCGAGACUUUGACUCUCGAGGUAAAGGUUCGAAUCCUUUUGGGUCUA
rnacentral:tRNA from 1 species